GCCACUAGCAUUGGGCCAUUGGGCUUGCUUCUGAAGUUGACUGACCUGAACAGGAACCUGGCACAAAGAGAAUGAGCGGGACUAAGGCUGCAGACGCCAGCGGAACAAGACCUAUCUUGCCCGGAUUUCCAAUACACAGCUGCACAACAACGGCAGCUUCCCAAACUCUUUUCCACUGACCUAUUUUUUGAAGAGAAAAAAAUCUGCCAAAUGCAAAAAUGAGUUGCAAUAAAGAUAAAGUGAAGAUGAGAAUAAAACUUUACUAACAUACAUAGA